UUUUCAUCAAGGAGGAACUUGGGAAUGACUGGGUUAACAACCACAUGUUCAGGAUUGGAGCAUCAGGUCUCUUGACCGAUAUUGAGCGUCAACUCUUCCACUAUGUGUAUGGGCGCUACGCAGCUGCAUCAGAGCUUCCCAUGGCCUAGAAGACUUUCCUUAAUCCUUUGAGGGUUGACAGGCCCUCUCCGAGACUCGUUCUCAGGGUCGGCCAAAUUUCAAAAAAAAAAAAAAAAAAUUCUUAUGAGAAGAUAGAAAAUCUUUUCCCUAUCAUAAUCACCAAAAAUAUGAAAUUUGAUGGAAAACUUAGGGAAUUAUGCUCUUGCGAAGUUAGCGGUCUCGGCGAUGUUCACGUAUCGGCGAUUUUGCCCACUUUGAGCCCUGUUUUCGGCCAAUUCCACUGUACUAGUCGACAAAAAACAUGAAUAUUUCGCUAGAACUCCAUUGUUUCUAUUGAAUGAGUGCAAGAAACCACCCAUUUACCAAUUUCAACUGUCCAGUACAGUGGUCAGAAUUUAGCAAUUUUGCCAAUUUCACACAUAUUUCAAAAGAUGCCAAUUUCCAAAUAGGGUCCAGAAUAAACAAGAAAGACAUUCCUGGCACUAAAAUGACAUUUCCUCUGUUCAUUAGUCAUGUCCCAAGGGCCCCCUUACAUUCUUUUGCUUUCCACUUUGAAUUUUUAUUCUCACAAAAAAUAGAAGAUUUACUGUUAUGCAGACUACUGCAUUAGUGUAAAAAAUGGUAUAAAUAAUAUUGGCGCACUUGCGAAAGAAUAUUAGACUCACCAGUUGACGUGUAUUGGACGCUUGGCAUGAUUUGUUUACUUUUGAACUUUGGUAAAAAUCAAACAUUUCUGCUAGUUUGAGCUCAAUUUCAAGGUACUUUUCAUUGUAAAACCAGUCAAAAUCAUCUCAAUUUCUGUAAUAUGUCUUCCAUUCUAUAAAAUGAGACCAAGAAAACUAGAAUACAACAAUAAAUACCAUAUGAAAAUACAGUGCAAAGUCACUGUUUUAUUCCAAAAACACGGUCAAAGUUUUUUUUUUCCUCAUUAUACACUGUGUGCUGCAGGAUUUUUUUUAUUCUGCACACACUGACCACAUAGGCCCAUUCUUUCAUAUGUAUGCCUACCAGUUUUCUCCCACUAGAUUUGAGGGCGCUAGAAUUUAGGCGUACUGGUACAUCAAAAACCCUGGGUCGUAAGCCAUACUAGUACGGCCGAAACCCUCAAAGGGUUAAGCAGGAUAUGACAGCAUCCUCAACACCUGCUGUUUCUUUGUCACUCUGGCUGAUUGCUUCCGAGUAUGAUGUUACAUAAUAUCUUAAGGCAGGAAGAAUCUUCAAUAAUUAUGCAGUACAUUUAUGAGUGAAUUUGAUUUUGUUAAAGAUUAUUACUAAUGCUAUACUUAAAUUUGUUUAUGCAGAAAUGGGCAUUCCCAAAAAUGUCAGAAGCAAAUCAUUAUUUUUAAGUAUGUAACUUUGUCAUAAUAGCAUUAAUUUUUGUGGUGAUGUAGGACUUAAGUACAAAUGAAGACAUUCCAAAAGUGUUUUGUUUUAAUCCUGUAGCUCAGUGCAACACCAUUUAUGGCAUUUUUCAACAUGUUUCCCACCAUUUCAGGAUGACCAAGAGAAGAAAAUACAUAUACAGUUACUUACUCCCAAGUUAUCUUUCUGGAAGUGCUUGUACAUUACCAUAAGUAUAAAAUGUAUUAACAGUCUUGGAGUACCUCAUCUCAUGGCUCUGGAAUCCUCGUCAUGAGUAUAAUCAGCUGUCUCUCACCAAGUUAGGGUGACCCAAAAAGAGGACACACAUCACUCAUUCAAUAGCUUUUUUGCCAGUAGUGCACAGACAUCACAAUUCAAAUGACCCUCUGAACAACAAGAUCCUCUCCCCUCCUUCAGAGUGCAGGUACUGUACUUUACCUCCAUGACUCUUGUCCAGCUAACCAUUUUACCCCUAAAUUCAUAUACGUUACCUUGCUCACACUCCGAGAGCAUAUCAAAUCAUACAAACCACUUAUCUCCACUCUGAGUUAAUACACUCACACAAGCAUGUUGAAUGCUCAAGUCCCUAGCAAUCAAAACCUGUUUCUCUCCAACCCUUCCUGGGAUGAUCCCAGCUUUCUUCCAUCCCUUAUUCUUACACACUCUUGGUCAUCCUAUGCUGCUUUAUCCUCCCCAAGUGCCUAAGCCCUCUGAAUUAUACCCUUGGAAACUCCACACCAUAUUUGUAUUUGUACAUGCCAAAUUUUCUACAUAAUAUAUAUAGGAAAGCUGUGAUUUCGUGUAUAGGGCAAGGAGGAAUAACAUCUUGUAGGAGUGAGGAAGAGCCAGUUGUGAGUGUGGGGGAAGUUCGUGAGGCAGUAGGUAAAAUGAAAAGGGGUAAGGCAGCUGGGAUUGACGGGAUAAAGAUAGAAAUGUUAAAAGCAGGUGGGGAUAUAGUUUUGGAGUGGUUGGUGCAAUUAUUUAAUAAAUGUAUGGAAGAGGGUAAGGUACCUAGGGAUUGGCAGAGAGCAUGCAUAGUUACU